rfam:Gossypium arboreum cultivar AKA8401 contig_793_3, whole genome shotgun sequence.
AAUUAAAAUUUUCAUCUAUUUUUACCGUUAAAAACUGACAUGACUGAUGAAAUAAUCAGGAAGUUGUUACACGUGGAGUGUCACACGUACGUCAAGUCAACAUACAAGGGCCAAUUUUUAAUAGAAUAAGAUGAAAUUUUUAACU